AUACGGAGGGUGCAAGCGUUACUCGGAAUCACUGGGCGUAAAGCGCGCGCGGGCGGCUAUUUAAGUUGGAUGUGAAAGCCUACGGCUCAACCAUAGAACUGCAUCCAAAACUAUUUAGCUAGAGUGUGGGAGAGGAAGAUGGAAUUAGUUGUGUAGGGGUAAAAUCCGUAGAGAUAACUAGGAAUACCAAAAGCGAAGGCAAUCUUCUGGAACACUACUGACGCUGAGGCGCGAAAGCGUGGGGAGCAAACGGGAUUAGAAACCCUAGUAGUCC
rnacentral:rRNA from 1 species